ensembl:lncRNA
AAGCUGCCUCAGGGCUGCUGAUCAGAUAGGGAAGGAGCCACCAUGAGAAGCCAGCUGCUGAGGAGAAAACCCUUUUGCUCAGUCCUCAAGGGAAGAAAGCUCUGCCACCAUGAGUCCCCAGUUGCGGGCGUGCCUAGGUUUUUUCUCAUAAAGGGAGUUGAUGAAAAGACAUGGGGAACUGUGAAAUGAGGGUUCAGCAAAAGCUUCAAACUGACCUAUAUAAAUCUAUUAAAAUAUAACAGAACCAAAGCCUGCUCACACAAGAAGAGGUGAGCCAGUGUGGGAGAGGCCAGGGAGGCGAGAGGGAGGAGAGAAAUCAGAUCACAAAGAAUUGGCCUCAGGAGACUGGAGUUAAUGAACUGUGCCCCAACUGUAGCGCUGAACUUCCUGGCAGUGAAGGCAGAGGAAGGAGCAGAUGGGUGACAUGAGAGUCUUGGACUUCCCUAGUAGAAGGAACAGUACCAAUUUUCAGGAAAAUGAUUUCCUGACUCCCGAGCGAGACAGCAAGCCACAGCUUCUCCUUAUGUUUCUCUAUGGUUGAAAUGAGGAUUCAGCAUCUGUACAUAGCAAAGGAAACUCUUCAAAGCGAUGAGAGUGAGGUGUUUCAUAUCAAGGAAAAUGAGGACUAGUUUAGCUCAACAGGGAGGAGGAGGUUGACUAGAAGCUAUUGCCUUGAAGCUAAUGAAGCUUAAUUUCAAGACCCCCUCCACCCAGGGCCUCUCCUAGAGGUCUCUCCCUUUUUUCUGUCUGUCCAACGAAAACUGUAUAGACUUUUUUUGUUGGUUUCAUUGAUUUUACAAAUGUAAAUCAAUCCAUGGGCAUUGAAGGGGAAUUAGAAACAAAAGUAAAAGCAGUAACUGCUCUCCUAAGAGCCCAGCACAUUGGCAAGCUGGCCUGGGAAACACUUGGACCUCUCUUUUCAGACCAUGAGUCGCUAGGGAAGCCAGGAAGAAGCUGGCUGGCGGGACCACGGACACAGGGCCUCACUAGCCACUUGCAGACAGGUCCAGGGUUGGAGGGUGGUGGGCUCAACACCAGGAAGAAGUUCAGCCUUUCCCCACGACCUUACUCUCUGCUGAUCUGCACCCUCCCAGCAUAUCCAGGAGGCCCUGCUGGGAUGUGGGGACAUUGUAGGCGCAGCACCAGGCCCAGGAGCGCACAGUUUGGACUUCUCUUACGGAACUUAAAUGUUGCACAAAAUACAUGUCAACAUACUCUUGUGGCUUUGAUCCAAAUGGAAGUAAAAGAAACAGGAGACUAGAGUGUGAGCUCUGAAACUUCUGGAAGCAUCCUAUUGUAACAAGGCACUUGGGAGCAAACUCUGGCCCACAGAUCAGUUACACAGCAAAUGAGUUACCUACCAAUGGUCAGGAGCAGAGGUGGGUGAGAGUUUGGUGUGGGCUGGAAGUCUAUAAAAUUGGGAGAUCUUCUCUGAGAAAAAUAAUAAAAGAUUACAAAUAUAAAAUAAGGCCCAGAGCUUGGGAUAGUGGGGCCCUGAAGGCUGAGUUUCAAGAACUUCAAGGAUAAAUAGCCUGUGGUCUUUGCAAGAGGCUAGCACUAAAGAGGUUAAAGAGAUGGGACCUGAACUUGUUGAUUUCUUGACCAGGCAGCCUUUGGAAAGAUCCAACAAAAAGGGCUGAGUGAUAGGAUAA